GUGUAGGAAGGUGAUUAGGAAGAAAUACAAGAGUUGAUAGAGAAGUGGAUAGUUUUGAAGGCUUCUGUCAAAAAGGCGCUCAGCACCCUUGAAGAGCGCUCAGCACCAUUGCCACAGAAGAGGAAAAUGGAAGUUCUGUCAAAAGGGCGCCCAGCACACUUUAAAGGCGCUCAGCACCUUUUCAAUAGAUAGGGUAAUCUGUGCAAAAUGCGCUCAGCACAUGAAAAGUGCGCUCAGCAUGAUUAGGGCGGUGGCAAAACCCAUCAGUGAAGG
rnacentral:lncRNA from 1 species